rnacentral:rRNA from 1 species
UACAGAGGGGGCAAGCGUUGUUCGGAAUUACUGGGCGUAAAGGGCGCGUAGGCGGCCUGUUAAGUCGAACGUGAAAUCCCCGGGCUCAACCCGGGAACUGCGUCCGAUACUGGCAGGCUUGAAUCCGGGAGAGGGAUGCGGAAUUCCAGGUGUAGCGGUGAAAUUCGUAGAUAUCGGGAGGAACACCGGUGGCGAAGGCGGCGACCUGGGUAGAUACUGACGCUGAGGCGCGAAAGCGUGGGGAGCAAACAGG